rnacentral:tRNA from 1 species
AAGGGAGACCUAAUUCCGGUAGGAGACGAAAAAAAAGUAGUCCCUACCAAGAAUCAAUCCCAAAAGGUCGAAGCGAGGCAAGAUUGGCUUUCAAACUAGGUUCUGGGUUCAAACAAGACCUGAAUCAGGAACAAGGGCUAUUAGCUCAGGUGGUUAGAGCGCACCCCUGAUAAGGGUGAGGUCCCUGGUUCGAGUCCAGGAUGGCCCACCUGCACAGGUGGCAAAAACAAAGAAGCGAGGAAUCAGCACCUUAUCUUACUCAUAUAGUAAGAGAGAAUGCUGGCUCUGAGUAAAGAGUGCAGAGGAACCUUGAAAACUGCAUAGAGCUAGGUGAAAAAGCCAAAAAAGAAGACCGCAA